rnacentral:lncRNA from 1 species
CGAGUUCCUCCCAGCUCCCGGGGUCUCCUUUCCUACCAGAAGCUUUCCUCCUUUCUUUUCUGCCCCGUCACGUGUGACACAAUGAAGGCACCUGACCCAGAUGGCACCUGUGUGAGGAUGGCUUCUAUCACCGGUAGGUCCUCCCUGUUUAACCCGACAGUGGUAUCCAGUUUUAAUUUGCAAAUGAUCUCCCUGCUCAUUGCUCCCCAAAUCCUUCAGGCAGUCACCUGUAGAAUAAAGAAAAGCACAGGCUGGUCAAAGACAGUCUCGGGCCAUUUUGCCAAAUUAUCUCCACAGUUGUCGUGGGAGCACAGGAAAUCCGUUUCACUGCCGAGCAAAGAUGCUAAAAUUUGGGAAAUGAAACAUGCUGUGAAGUGGCCACACUGCUCCCAAACCAAUGUCUCCGUGUUGUGCCCUUGCUGGGCGGUGGAAGAGGGCAGAUGGCCCGAGAUUGUCUGAUUAGCGGGGUAAUAAGCACCCGGCUCGGAGGGGACAUGAGUGGCAGAACAGAGGGGUGAAGAGAGGCCACCUGCAAGGGACGAGUGGUCUCAGAGCUGAGCUUGUGAUAGCUCCUGUCGGUUCGGGGGAAACUGUUUAGAAAGAGGAACCUGCGAAAGACCCCUGGGGACCCAGCACCCUGAUCAGGGUUCUCAGCCACAUCUCUCCCUUGUCUGAAAACACCUCCAUCAACCUUAGCAGCUCUCCCCUUGCUGCCUCUCUUCCUGGAGUCACCCAGUUGAUCUUAACGUCUCGGCCAGGGGGGAAGGCGAUGGCGGGAGUGCAGCCAGCAAGAGCCCAGGCCGUGGCACCGAGAGAACAGCGACCUUGCGCUCAUUUAGUCACACAAGUGACAAUUCGUCUCCAUCUGUGUGUCCAGCCCCUCAGUGACACAGGCAGGAUUCCUGUUCCUAAAGCUCAUGUUCGUGGUGGAGAACAUUAAUAAUUGAUGAUGGGGAUGGGGAUGUGGGGGCCAAGGACACCCAGGGCCGGGGCACACAUUGGAGGUGGUGUGGAAGUGUGGAAGGGGGGGUGCAUCCCAAGCUGCCAGGACCAGGCGUAGACAGGGAGGAGCGGGGAGCACACAGCCCCGCGUGGCAUCUGGUGUCCUUUCAGACACCCCCGAACGCUCUCUGCCUCACCCCCAUUUUAGCUGCCUAAAGGUGGCCCUGGUGUGGGAACGGGGGGAGCAGGAAGGCCUUGGACCAGAGUGCAUCCAGAGGGCGUUCCAAGGUCGGCUGACACAGUUCUGGUCUCCUGUUCCAUGUGCUCAGGUUGUAUGCCUGUGCAUAUUUUAAACUAACAUUUCAUGUGAAAUUUAAGUCACAACAAAAUGAGAGCUCAUAGGGCAGGAAAACCUGGAUUUGAAGGUGCAUGCCUGUUAUCCCAGAACUCAGGAGGCUGAGGCAGGAAUUGGCAGCCAGCCUGGGCUACAUAGUGAGUCCCAUAUGAGACCCUGAGAAAAGCGAACAAAAAAACAGGGCAGGGAAAUCCACAUACUCUACAUCAACCAUCAAUUGCACUUGUCAGUUCAGCCACACCCAAUGUUCUUUUCUUUUUGAGACAGGGUCUUUCUGCUUUGCCCAGGCUGGUUUCUAAUUCCUGAGGUCAAGUGACCCUAUAUUGCAUUACAUAUAUGUUGUAUGCUAAUAUUUAUUUAAAUAUGUUACAUAUCAAACUUAGUAUCAGUCAGUUAGAAUGCCCCUAAGAACUCGUUCUGGUUUUUGUUUAGUGUUUACAGUAUUUUGUUCCUUGUUAUUUCAUCUUAUGAUUUUUCCUCUAUACAAAACCCCUUUCAAUGGCAGAUAAAGCCUUCUUGGAAACAUGCCAUGUUGUAUUUGUUAAAAUCUAUGUAACUCUUUCAGUGCCUCAUGACUGACAGCAGCAGCUUGCAUAUCACCAUGCCAAGCUUGUGCAAGAAAUUCUGUUAAAGAGUACAAGGCUGAAGGAAGAGCACAACACUCUG